UUGGACCAAGCUAUUUUAAAAAGUACCCGGCAAAACAAAGCAAAAGUCGUCCUCUUUUCAAAAUAUUUUUUCCUUGCUUUCGUAGACUAUGGAGAUGGGAUGAAUCUAGGGUUUUGCAGCAAUCCAAAAGUUCAAAUGAGGUCAAUUCUUGAAUUUUUUACGCUCUCUUUUUUUUAGUUGAUAAAAUUGUUGUUUGCCAUCAUUUGAAUUUAUCUGGAGUUUUCUUGUUUUUGAUUGAUUUUCAUAUGCCCAGUUCAAUCUCAUGAUCUUUCCUUUGCUUGAAUAUCUUUUGAUUUUUAUAAAAGAAUCUUUUUGGUAAAUAUAUUUAUUCAUCGAAAUGAGGGUUUGAACUAAGUAUUUGAGUUUUCAAGCUUUUUCUCUUCGUGGAUAAUUGAAGAUCUUUGAAUCAGUAGUUAUGAAGAUUUUUCUUUUACACCUCUCGAGGAGUUCUUAAAUUUAGGAAUUAGGGUGUGAGUUGGAGGAAAUUGAAGAAGCAAAUAGUGCGGGUUCUCAUAGAGUGCUUAGUCUUGUAUCAUAUCCCCAAGAUGAGCAUCAGUAAGGAGUUUAGUUGAACGAACAGGGGAGGCAAUACACAAGUUUAAGAAAGUUGUUUCUCUUCUUAAUUCUAGUUGUGGUCAUGCUAGAGUCAGAACAUGAAGAAAAUUCAAUCCCCUUUCACUCAAAACCUCUUUCUUGAAAACCCAACCUUUUGAACAGAUGAUUGGCCCAAACGCAUUCAGCUCCUUUAAACCAAUUCUGUCGAAAACCACCCACUUCAAGAAGGGGGAUCCAAUGUCAAGAGUGAUCUCACAUUGGGGAACUAUUCUUUGGAAUUGAGCUCACGUGGCAAGUGUUGAAAGAAGAGAAUGCAAAAUGCCAAUUAAGCAGUCACGAGUCAGCAAAGAGGAAUUACGGGUGGUUUGAAAAGGAACGGCCUUAGAGCACCUCUCCACAGAAUGUCCGGGAAUUUCACAAAACGUGCAGUAGUAUUUCUUUUGAGAUGUAACAUUCUGACUCUCAGUAUCUUUAGAAGUUGCCAUGAGAGCCAUGGAAUCACUGAUAGGGCAAUCUAGAGAAAAUUUUCGACGUUUUUCCUCUUGUUUUAUAAUAGAGUACACUUCAUUAAGACUAGGAAAGGGCUUGAUUAGAAGAAUCUGAGCCUUGAGAGAUUUGUAGGUGUCAUUUAAACCCAUAAGAAAUUUCAUUACCCAACCUCUAUCUUGGUUAUUCACUACUGUGCUCAAUCCCCCACAUGUACAAUUAGGAAUCGACUUAUAGUUCUGUGAAAUGUUUUCAAAACCCAUUAAUCACGUUUUUUACAAGUGACAAAAAAUGUUUUCUCCAUUUGUUGGUCACAUGGCAACUUUCUAUUGACAACUUACUUUUCACAAGAAUGUGUGUUUGUUUGAAAAAAUCAUGGACCAUUGAUCAAAAUGAAGGGUUGUGAUUAGCUUAAACUUUUCUAUCAUUUAUUGAUAUGGACGGCUGGAGAGAGAAGCAUAUGACUUUCACUUUUUCUUGAUUUUUCUUCCAAAAAAUGGCAGACUUCUCUCUUCUCUCUCUUUGGCGUUUUUCCUUUCUUUGACGGAGGAAAUUUCAGAUCUGAUUAAAUAUACUUUUCGGCCAUAUUUUCGGUAGUAAGGCCAGUGUACUGAGCCGGUGAUCUGUGGUUAUUUACAGUCUAAAAAUCUGACCAAACAGACCAAGUGCAGAAAAUUAAAGAAUGCAUAAAUUGUUCACCCAGUUCGACCAAGCCUAAUCUGGGGGGCUCAGAGGCAAAACAACCCAAGCCCGUCACUAUGCUAAGAACCUCCCUAGAGAGAACCCGAGAUCUUUUUACAAGAUUCAGAUUUACACCAAGAAAAUCAGAUCAUCGGCUUUACAAAUAGCCUCACAAUAUUAGCCCUAAUUGAUCCUAACCUGGACUCUAAUGUAUUAUCAAUUCACAGUCUAAAAAUCUGACCAAACAAACCCAAAAAACCGUUGCUGGAAAACACAAAAACUGGUCAGCCAACUGUAAAAUAACCACCAGAUCACCGGCUUAGUACAUUGGCUUUACUACCGAAAAUAUGGCCGAAAUGUAUAUUUAAUCAGAUCUGAAAUUUCCUCCGCCAAAGGGAGAGAAGAGAGAAGUUUGCCAUUUUUUGGAAGAAAAAUCAAGAGAAAGUGAAAGUCACGUGCUUCUCUCUCCUGCCGUCCAUAUCAAUAAAUGAUAGAAAAGUUUAAGCUAAUCUCAACCCUCCAUUUUGAUUAAUGGUCCAUGAUUUUUUCAAACAAACACACAUCAUUGUGAAAAGUAAGUUGCCAAUAGAAAGUUGCCAUGUGGCCAACAAAUGGAGAAAAUAUUUUUUGUCACUUGUAAAAAACGUGAUUAAUGGGUUUUGAAAACAUUUCACAAGUUCAUUAGUACAUCCAACAGAGUUUUCAAUUUGGAGUAAUAUAUGCUCACAGUGUCUUGGUUUUGCAUCAACAUUGCAAUACUUUGCUUCACUUCAUAGAUCCUAGGAGUAUUUUGUUGGGCAAGUCUCUGUUCAAGUUCCUGCCACAGUUGGGUGAGUAGUCUCAACAUAAAGGGUGCUACUCUUGAUGUCAACAAACAUGGUAUUCUGCAACUAAGUGAUGAUGUCAUUGCAACGAAGCCAAGGUGGCUCACGGAUACUUCCAUCAACAAAUCCCAGUUUGUUUUUUAUACGAAGGGCUCUUUUCAUUGAGCGUGCCCAAGAAUGAUAGUUACUUGUAUCAAGCAUUUGGGUGACAAGCAGAGCUCCAUUGCUGUCAUUGGGACUGAUAAAAUAUGGGCUAUUUGGUUCAGAUGGAUCAUAAGUGUUGGGAUUUGGAUUUGGAUUUGAAUCUGUAAGAGGAAGAGAAUUUGAGUUUUAAUCAUCAUUUGUGUUAGUAGGAUCAACUAUGUUGCUCUGAUACCAUAUAAGAACAAGCUCAGUAAUGAAAGAAUGCAAAGAAGGUAUUGAAAUGCAACGUGUGAGAGAAAAUUAUGUAUGUAUUGUCAUUGAAUUUUAUGUGCACUAGAACACUAUAUUUAUACGGGGGAGUUACAAGAAACAAAUUAAUAAGAGAAUAUUCUUCCCAACUAUACAAACAAUGAAACAGAAAAUGAAUUAGGUGGCCCUUGUGGAAUACUCUAAGGCUAUUCCUUUUGUAACCACCUGUGGUUCCUCUUUGCUGAUUUUUUUUUGCUAACUCAUGAUUGCCUAAUUGGCAUGUUGUAUUUCCUUAUUUAAACAAGCAGUCUUAUUGUAUUGUGAUAAUAAUGUUGCAUUACACAUAGCAGCAAAUCUGGUUUUUCAUGAGCGAACUAAGCACAUAGAGCUUGAUUGCCACUUAAUUCGUGGUAAAAUUCAAGAAGGGAGUAUUGUUACAAAAUAUGUAAAUAGUGGCUUACAAAUAGCACAUUCUAACGAAGGCAUUGGGUUCAAAUAAUUUUUACUCUCAUUUGCACAAGAUGGGGGUAGAAAAUAUAGACUCUCCAUCUUGUGGGGGUGUUGAAAGAAGGAAAUGCAAAAUGUCAAUUAAGCAGUUAUGAGUCAGCAAAGAAAAUUGGCAAAAAUGAACCACAUGGGUUUACAAAAGGAACGACUUUAGAGUAUUCCAGAAGGGCCACAUAAAUAAUUUUCUGUUUCAUUGUUUGUAUAGUUGGGGAGAAUAUUCUCUGAUUAGUUUGUUUCUUGUCCAACAUCUAUUAAUAGAUUUUUGGUAGCUCCCUUGUAUAAAUAUAGUGUUCUUGUGCACGUAGAAUUCAAUGAAAAUGCAUACAUAAUUUUCUCUCAAUUCAGGUUGCAUUUCAAUACUUUCUUUGCAUUCUUUCAUUAUUGAGCUGCUUCUUAUAGCAAGGAUCCUCUUCACCAAUCCCAGCCAGCAGCUAUUCAAAAUUAUCUCAUACCAACAUAAGAGAAGGCGUUCUGCUGAUCAGAACUCAUACCAACAUAAGAGGUGUUGUUCUGGAAGGGGAGAGGAUGGAAGUGGGAAAUGUGGGAGUAGUGAUCGACGCCACUGCUCAGAGGAGAGGUGGUUAUUUCUAGCCUCUGUUGUUUUAAUCAAACUAUCAUCAUUGGAGUUAUUUAUACCGUGCCACUGCUUUUCUUUGCCCAAUUUCCCCUAAUUUAUACAGGAAACAUCGGGUGAAAAAAUCAAUCAAAGUUCCUGCCAUAAGCAACAACUAAGCUGAUAUACCUCCUGAUGAGUAUUCAUGGGGGAAGUAUGGACAGAAGCCAAUCAAAGGUUCUCCUUACCCAAGGUAUUGUUCCUCACCUACUCCGAGUGACAUAGCUUGGUCCAAAUUUGCAAAAAUUACUCACAGAUAUUCAUUUCUGGUUAUUAGCUUAUAUGGAGUUUUCAUUCUUGCAUUUUUGCCGGGUAGCCUCUUCAGUAUAUGAUAUUUGUUACCGUUCUAUUGCAUGGUGCUAGGUAUUUUCUUAUGUUAUGUGAGGAAAUUUAAUAGACUCGCUACCGAGCAGCAGGAUUUGCUGUCUUAUGGGCUAGUUUCGCUCUCAUCAGUACAAAGAAAAUUUGUCUCCGAUGAAGAAUCUCAUCAAAUAUCACAUUUAAUAAUAAUUAGCAUGCCUUGCUCCUAACCUGAAGUUGGAAGUACAUUCUUGGAUAGAUAGUCCUACCCUUCGAUGGCAUGAGUUAGUAGUUUCAUGGUUUUGCUGAGUCUAGUUCUGCAUUUUUGCAGGGGACACUACAAAUGUAGUAGCAUGAGAGGCUGUGCUUGGAUGAUCCUUCAAUGCUUAUUAAAUAUCACAUUUAAUAAUAACUAGCAUGCCUUGCUCCUAACCUGAAGUUGGAAGUACAUUCUUGGAUAGAUAGUCCUACCCGUCGAUGGCAUGACUUGGUAGUUUCAUGGUUUUGCUGAGUCUAGUUCUGCAUUUUUGCAGGGGAUACUACAAAUAUAGUAGCAUGAGAGGCUGUGCUUGGAUGACCUUCAAUGCUGAUUGUUACUUGCGAAGGUGAACAUGAUCACCCUGAGUUUCCGUCACAAGUCUGCCAACACUAGAAAUCUUGGGGAAAGAUUUUCAGAGAGCACAUACAAGACGCCUUUAAAAUUAUUUCUUACAUAUCCUUUCUACCCUCAUUGCUCUGCUUCUUGUUUGCUUGGUUUAAGCUCGUGGUACAUAUGGGGUUGGAUUCUGGUUCUGAAUGAAUUGACUCCUAAAUGUUGUCAAGACAAAAACAAAAUCCAGAAUAGAAGAGUUAUUUGGAUGUUGGGGGUGACUCAUUGUACAAAAAAAUUCAAUCAGUCGUAAUCGACUUAUUUUUCAAGAAUUUAGAGUUUCCUGCUGGUUCCCUUGUGGUUCGACGCUUUACAUUUUUUUCUAUCUGUUUUACUGAUGCAUAUUGGUGAUUUUAACUUAUAUUAUUAUUGCUUAUGCAAUUUGCAAAGAUGAUCAAUCAUGGCAAAACAAGAAAAAAUAAAAGAAAUGGGGCAGUCCGGACUCCGGAUGAAGGUUUGUCCAAGAAAUGUUGUCAUUGCUGUGAUAAUGGAAAUUGGAAAUCUGAUCUUUAUGAGUAUUGAAGAAUUUGUGGGUUCUUAUUGUGAUUUCAUUUUUC
rnacentral:lncRNA from 1 species